CCUACGGGUGGCAGCAGUAGGGAAUCUUCCACAAUGGGCGAAAGCCUGAUGGAGCAACGCCGCGUGGGUGAAGAAGGUCUUCGGAUCGUAAAACUCUGUUGGUAGAGAAGAAAGUGCGUGAGAGUAACUGUUCACGUUCCGCCGGUAUCUAACCAGAAACCGACGGCUAACUACGUGCAAGCCGCCGCGGUAAUACGUAGGUGGCAAGUGUUAUACGGAUUUAUUGGGGGUAAAGGGAAGGCAGGCGGUCUUUUAAGUCUGAUGUGAAAGCCUUUGGCUUAAGCGGUGUAGUGCAGUGGACACUGGGGGACUUGAGUGCAGAAGAGGAGAGUGGAA
rnacentral:rRNA from 1 species